CCCUUUUAAUGAGCUGUGUAACAGGUUUUGUACAGCAGGAAACAGGGGUGGUCGUUACAAGCAUUAUCCAAUCAUCCAAUCCUAACAAAAUCAUCUAUCUUAUCAUAACAUCCUAACCUAUAGCAAGCUUGCAGAUGUAUCUUCAUGUUUGGACCUUGCUCAACGCUAAGUUUCAAUAUAUAACUACACACUUCAAACUAAUGUGCAUGCGCACUAUGAAUUAAAGAUAUUUACUACUAAGUUCUAAAUUACACAUUACUAUGCAGUUAUGAUCAAAGAGAUAAAAACAGGAAAUAAGGCAGACAGACAGAAGAAUACAGGAUAUAACACCUGUGACUUUAUGUUCUACAGCAUAUAAACUUGUUACAUGAUAUUAUACAGCUCUUAAUUGUCUAGGGGUAUAUUCACUAAGCAUUGGAUAUAGCUAAAAUACAUUAUUGCAAAUAGCUGGCAUGUUAACCAAUUUUAAACAGACUGGCCAGCCAGUCAUCUAUAUCAUAAACCCUGGGUAAAUAUAAGCAAAGUAUAUUAUUCCCAACACGGAGGUGCCCAGUUGGGGUGCCAGGUGAUCUGUUACAAGUGGGGGCCCAGGGGGAGCACAAUAGGUCCCCCUACUUUAUGGUAAUUUAGGGCUUUGAGGGGCCCAGGGGAAGACAAUAGGU